GUUGCAUCUUCCUCUUACUUUCACUAAUAUGAGAGUAGAAUAACUUACAGAAAUACUUUGGUGGCCAUGAACUUGUAUGCCAUGGAAAUUGCAGGUAAUAUGGAAAAUUAUUCUGCUGAAAACCUGUCAAUUGGAAAUGUGCACGGACAAGGUAUUGCACAAGGGUGUUGGUAUGACUGGGACAUCUGAACAGCAUAGCUGGAGAUGUGGUAAGUGCUUGUGGGUAGCGCGUUCUAGCGGAGACAGGGAAAUCCAGUGGAGUUGCUGCUGCUGCUGGGGCCACACAUGGAGUACCGCACACCAGUCUGGUUACUUGGGCUCCGCAAGUGGGAAGCACCAGCAGGGAUUAUCAGGGGAAAGGCAAAUGUGGAAGUGAAACUGGUGGUGUUUGUCUUCACUGUAGCGAAAUGAUCAGAGAGGAUGCUUGUGUUGUUUUUGUCUGUGUAAGUACUUGAAGGGCGGAGUGAGCAAGCAUUAACUUAAUUAUGUUUAUUCCCCUUGAGUACGGUGCUUGUGCAAAAAAAAAACAAGAACGCUUAAAAAAUACAAUUCUUUAAAUCUUAAAUCUCCAAGUCUUAUAUGUAAGAGAAGGUAAAGCUGAGAGUCUUCAAUGAUUUUGAAAUGCCACCAACAAAACUCUCUCUCAAAAAAAAAA